AACGAACGCUGGCGGCGCGCCUAAUACAUGCAAGUCGAGCGAGAAGACGUAGCAAUACGUUUGUAAAGCGGCGAACGGGUGAGGAAUACAUGGGUAACCUACCCUCGAGUGGGGAAGUAACUAGCCGAAAGGUUAGCUAAUACCGCGUACGCUCCUUGGACUUCGGUUUCAGGGAGGAAAGACGAUACCGUGGGUAGUCGCGCUCUUGGAUGGGCGUCAUGUCCUAUCAGCUUGUUGGUGAGGUAA
rnacentral:rRNA from 1 species